UACGUAGGGUGCAAGCGUUGUCCGGAAUUAUUGGGCGUAAAGAGCUCGUAGGCGGUUUGUCGCGUCUGCUGUGAAAACUCGGGGCUUAACUCCGGGCCUGCAGUGGGUACGGGCAGACUAGAGUGCGGUAGGGGAGACUGGAAUUCCGUGGUGUAGCGGUGAAAUGCGCAGAUAUCAGGAGGAACACCGGUGGCGAAGGCGGGUCUCUGGGCCGAUACUGACGCUGAGGAGCGAAAGCGUGGGGAGCGAACAGG
rnacentral:rRNA from 1 species